rnacentral:rRNA from 1 species
UACGUAGGGUGCAAGCGUGUCCGGAAUUAUUGGGCGUAAAGAGCUUGUAGGCGGUUUUGUCGCGUCUGCUGUGAAAUUUCGGGGCUCAACCCCGAACUGCAGUGGGUACGGGGCAGACUAGGAGUGUGGUAGGGGAGACUGGAAUUCCUGGUGUAGCGGUGAAAUGCGCAGAUAUCAGGGAGGAACACCGGUGGGCGAAGGC